rnacentral:lncRNA from 1 species
GUUGUCACCAAUGUUUUUUGCAACAUUAACAAAAAAGUCAUUAAAAAUUUCAGAUAUUUCUUGUUGGUUCGUGAUGAUUUUGUUGUUUUCCUGCAGUAUGGUUUCUUUUUGGCUGGUGCAUCCUUUGUUUGUAAGGAAUGGCUUAACUGUUGGCCAGAAAUCUUUCGACUUAGGACCACCUGUGCAGCGUUCUAUGAAGUAUCUAUUUAUGGAUUGUUUUUUAAGUUUAGUGACAAAAUUUCUUUGUGUUUUGUAUGCAUCCCAUGUCUUGCUGUUAUUCAUUUUUUGAAAUUUGU